rnacentral:lncRNA from 1 species
UGCAAACACGAAUAUAAAUAGGAUUUUAUUUAACAAAUCUCGAAUCGAAAUUAUUAGAUACUAGGCGCGCUGGUCUGAAUAACGUAACUGGAAUAGCACAUGAAGUCCAAGCAUUAUUUGUAACGUUUAAUUAUGAAAUAGCUUCAAAUUUGAAGUGUUGAUAUUUUCCAAGAUCUGAAUGCCAACAAAGUAUAUUAGAAUGAUAUUUAUCGCGAUAUCGUAUGCCGUAUGAGUCGUAUUUUUUUUUUUUCAAAUUGAAAUUCAUUCAUAAUCGAUUUACCGAUAUUUAUACACAAGUUGGCAGUAAAACAAAAUAAUCCCAAAACUAAAAGUUCAUAAGAAAUGGCAGCUAAAACUCACAUUGAAGCGACUAAAGCCAAUAUUAGGGUGACUUAAGAACAAACAUAAACCAUAAAAACUAAAUCAACACUUAGCCAUAUGAGUCGUACUAUCGCCUCACUUUAUUUAUUUUAGCUUAUUUGGUUUACCUUUUUUAGCUACUUUUUAUACAAAACCAAAAACGAAGAAUGCUUCGGGUCGAAGUAGCUCAUAAAGAACCCUUUAUAUAUUAUUCGAUAUACCAAGGUUAGUGAUCCAUCAUACAUCACUGUGCGAUACAGAUAGUAGACUAUCGUUAUUAUAUUAAUUGCAUCAUUCUAGAUUCACAAAAGAUCAGUUUAUUACAGAUACUAGGGUUUGGCCCGCCCUACGGGCGGGUUAGUAACUGAACGAAAUAUAUAAUAUAUCAUAAAUUUUAUCGAAUAUUUCAAAGUGUUUAGUUUAUUUUAAAUUGUAAGUAAUAUUUAUUUCUUUAAAUUAUAAUACAAAUAUUAUAACUAUAAGUCCUUCAAAUUUUUAAUAUUACAAUUAUACAAUAGUAUAUAUUAUAUAUUUUUGAUAAACUCUGAUAUUUUGGUUGAAAUGCUGCUUGAUAUUUUGAAAAGAUGUAAGUAGAAUCCAUUGAUCAAAUUGUAUUAAAAAGUUUUUGAUCAUUAGACAGAGGGUAAGAAACAAAAUCAGAACUUCUGAUGAGAUAUGUUUAAGGAUUCAGACCUGCAAUAGCGAGAGAUCCAAGCUUUGUGGUAGGCCAUUGAUGUCGGAGUUGUCAAGCUUCGUGUCGAAUCUUGGAAGACAGUUAAGAGUCACAAUCAAACCGGGUGUUAACACUUCGUCGGUGCGAGUAUUCUUGGUGGAGCACCCUUCCUCUACAGUUAAAUCUUCCUCUCCAUUGUAGCCAGCAGAAACAGGUGGCUCUAUUGGAUCAUUGGCGGACCUGUUUGUCCUUCAGCCAUCACAGUAGCACUGUAACCGCUUUUGUCCAGGCCAUUCAUGAGCAGGUGUUGUUCUUUUCAAGGCCAGCUGAGAGAAAAUAAGUUGUAGAAAAUCUUAUUAUACAAUGAUCAAGAACUAUAUACAUACUUGUUGUGAGCUAAAAAAGAUGGAUAAACCAUUGAGCAGAUAAUUGUAGGUAUAAAGCUUUAUAUACUUUUCUCCUUUCAAUAUUUCUCAAGAAAGAAUAAUGAGUUUAAUCAAUAGAUAGUGGUCGCUUUGACCUCCCCCCUCCCAUGACGUUUCCUGGAAUCGGUUUAACUAAAAUGAAGCAAUACAUAAGGGUUUAACUAAAGCUACCAAGAGAAUCUAGUGAAACAUAAAAAGAAAUAGUUUUUCAGUACCAUGGUUGUAAUUUUGGUUUGAAUUUAGAAGUGUGGCUUGCCCAUGCUUAGCUCUCUGGUGUCUAUGUGUAACUUGUUUAAGCUCUUAUCCUCAAAUAGAUGAACAAACAGAGGUUGUUUAAGUAAAAUAAUGUAGACAGCAGUAUCAUCAUCGUCACCAUAAGAGUCUAGGCUUUCACCUCCAAGGCUCCAACUAACUUUGGAUUGACAGUGGUAGAUAAUAACACCUUAGGUUCUACACCAGAGGCUAUCAACAUUUCAUCCAAGAGCUUCGCAAUCGCAAGGCCGUCCAAUACACUCGCAGACGAUUGUUUCACUGGAAAGUGAUAAAGUUAGAGCAGUGUGUAUGCUCAAGUUUGAAAAAAUAGAAACCUUGACACAAUUAAAGCAAGAGACUUCUCAUACUUCUCAAUCAUUAUGGUAACUGUGAUGCGUUGAAUACUUUGUGUCUCCUUGUUGAAAAUUGUUCUAAUACCCUUAACUUCCCCAACAACAUCUGCUUACAAAAACAAAAAUGAAUACAAACUUUACUACAAUACUUCUAUGGGAUUAUAAGGCUAACUAACCUGGCAGAUCAUUGUCCAUAUUGGCUAGCACCGUGAGUUAUUCUUAAUUGUGGAACCGGAAACUCUCAGGCGGAACAGGUUCAGCUGUUUCUGAAUCUUCAAGAAGACGGUUUGGUCUGUGAAUCUAAUAGCAACUGAGGCAUCACCAAACUUGAAGCUCGGGCUGUUUCUUGCAACAUCAAAAACAUUGAGUUCAUAAGCCGAUUCUUCUUUCAGGAGAUGUUAACAUCAAUAGCUCAAAACAUUAAAGUAAUAACUGGAAUAAUGAACUGGCUUAACUCCCCCCCCCCAUCAAUGAGCAGCAUAUCAACAGCCAUACGCUCGCCCCCUUUCUUCACAUUCUAAGCCUCACAAAAUCGAAGCAGCCUUGUCUCAACAACUUGUCUACAUCAGCCUGCUUUCAACUCUGAGAAAGGAAUUUGAGAAGUCAUGAUGUUCGAAGGGUUUCUGUGUGGUAGGACACAAAAUCUGAUUUCGGCAAAGUUAAAAAGACAAAUCAUGGUCUCUCAAGAGCAAUAUAUAUAUACGGAAUAUAAAUGCUGAAGGUUUUAAAAAGUGGAGUUAGUGGGUUUAGUGGUAAUCUUUAAUGCUUGGCAUAACUACGAAGCAAAACGUAACUUGGAACGAUGAAGUGGAAUCUUUGACGUUACGGUUUCACCAUGGACGACGAUAGUGAGAAGGAGGUGAGAGCUAAAUAGGGAAGAUAUCAAAACUAUACUGGAUAAAGAAAAUGAAACUUUUAAAAACUUAAGAGAGAUGAAUAUUUUACAGGCCUACACGGAGCACUGACCCUGGAAAAAAACACGACAAAAGCUCAAACUUAAGAAAUCGGUUUAGUCAAGUGUUUUUAAAGUGACACGUGUUGAGAUUGAUGAUAAUAACUGGAAUAAUGAACUGGCUUAACUCCCCCCCCCCAUCAAUGAGCAGCAUAUCAACAGCCAUACGCUCGCCCCCUUUCUUCACAUUCUAAGCCUCACAAAAUCGAAGCAGCCUUGUCUCAACAACUUGUCUACAUCAGCCUGCUUUCAACUCUGAGAAAGGAAUUUGAGAAGUCAUGAUGUUCGAAGGGUUUCUGUGUGGUAGGACACAAAAUCUGAUUUCGGCAAAGUUAAAAAGACAAAUCAUGGUCUCUCAAGAGCAAUAUAUAUAUACGGAAUAUAAAUGCUGAAGGUUUUAAAAAGUGGAGUUAGUGGGUUUAGUGGUAAUCUUUAAUGCUUGGCAUAACUACGAAGCAAAACGUAACUUGGAACGAUGAAGUGGAAUCUUUGACGUUACGGUUUCACCAUGGACGACGAUAGUGAGAAGGAGGUGAGAGCUAAAUAGGGAAGAUAUCAAAACUAUACUGGAUAAAGAAAAUGAAACUUUUAAAAACUUAAGAGAGAUGAAUAUUUUACAGGCCUACACGGAGCACUGACCCUGGAAAAAAACACGACAAAAGCUCAAACUUAAGAAAUCGGUUUAGUCAAGUGUUUUUAAAGUGACACGUGUUGAGAUUGAUGAUGACAUGUCACUUUUAUUGGCUAUGAAUAUUUUAUCAUAGGUGGAUAGCUUUAGAAAGCUUCAAUUUAGUACCUUUUAUAUAGUAGGAUAUAGUUGUUGCACGUUGAUGCAUCACUAAUAUCAGCCUAUUACCAGAAGUAUGGACUUCGUUUAGCGAUUCCAAAUCGCGUUUCGAAUACUUAACUAUAGGCAGGGUUUGAGUCUUUCUAUUAGAAAACAGAUCGUAGCUACAAUCUUUUUUUACUGAAGUAAAUACAAUCUUUAUUAGAUUUUUAAAUGACUGGUUAUAUUUUCGUGGUAUCAAAUAAAAUUAUAUAAGGCAAAACAUUUUACAAAAUCUACAGCGCAUGAGACUUGAAUAAAAAAUAACAUCGCACUAGCUAUCGACAAAAAGCAUCUCAUGUAGCUAAGAAUUUUACAACCACUGCUAAACAAAUCGUCCACUUACGAAAUAGAUUAUACAUAAUUUGAGAAUAAAGCUGACAAUGACAUUGUCGAAUGUCGUCAUUGGCCAAAGCUAACGUUCAUAUAAUUAAUGAACAAUUUACGUUUUUGUUAUAAACCAUAAACUUUUGUAAGUGCUAGGAAUAAGAGUAAAUUGGUUAUAAAAAAAGGAAAAAGCGAAGAGAAGAGUGUGAGCUCUACUAGAGAUUGAUGUUAUCGUUCGGUGCUCAACGACAACGAUAAAUCUCGUUCAAAGAUGCAUGGAAGUGUCAGGAAAUUGCAAGUUUGGGGUGUUAUUAUCAGAUUGGGUUUUAUAACCUUUCUUGGGGAAUUUCUAGUUUCAUCUUUGUUUUAUUUUAUGUCAUCUUUGUGUCGGUUCAAGUCGUCCCUGUCUAAGUUCUAGCUGCCGCUUUCAUGUAAGCUUCUAUGUUUGGAGAAUGUUCGAUUUCUUCCGUUAGCUCUUGUAUUGAAACUAUUUUGCUCCUUUGGAAAAAUUCCAUUUGUUGGGAAAAAAAAAUCAGCGUGAGCUCGAAAAGCCCAAUGUUGUGAGCAGUUCUUGUUUGGUUACCUGUCAUCGUACGUCCUCCCAAGUAUAUCUACAAUUUUCUUCUAAUA